rnacentral:rRNA from 1 species
GACGAACGCUGGCGGCGUGCCUAAUACAUGCAAGUCGAACGAGAGCGCCCGGUGCUUGCCCUGGUCAAUCUAGUGGCGAACGGGUGAGUAACACGUGGGUAACCUGCCCAUCAGAGGGGGAUAACAUCCGGAAACGGAUGCUAAAACCGCAUAGGUCUUCGAACCGCAUGGUUUGAAGAGGAAAAGAGGCGCAAGCUUCUGCUGAUGGUUGGACCCGCGGUGCAUUAGCUAGUUGGUGAGGUAACGGCUCACCAAGGCCGUGAUGCAUAGCCGACCUGAGAGGGUGAUCGGCCACAUUGGGACUGAGACACGGCCCAAACUCCUACGGGAGGCAGCAGUAGGGAAUCUUCCGCAAUGGACGCAAGUCUGACGGAGCAACGCCGCGUGAGUGAAGAAGGUUUUCGGAUCGUAAAACUCUGUUGUUAGAGAAGAACAAGUGCUAGAGUAACUGUUAGCGCCUUGACGGUAUCUAACCAGAAAGCCACGGCUAACUACGUG